AUGGCGGUGGCCAUUUAUCACAUCACGCCGGUCGACAUCCCUGUGGAGGUUCUAAAAACGAUUGACAAGUUGUGGCGUGCCUACCUUUGGGCAGGAUCUGACAUGGUUAGUGGUGGCAAGUGCAAGAUUAAUUGGGAGCAUGUCUGCAAGCCAAAGGAAUAUGUGGAACUUGGCAUUUUGCACCUUUGCAAGCUUGUUGUCGCCCUCCGGCUGAGGUGGCUAUGGCUUGAGUGGAAUGACCCACCUCGUGCGUGGUGUGGAUUGGGGAUGCCUUGCAUGACAUCUAACUGUGACCUUUUCGCGGACUUGACUGAGGUCAAGAUCGGCGAUGGACAGAAGGCUUCCUUCUGGGAAUCUUCUUGGCUUCAGGGUGUUAGGCCCAAAGAUAUUGCGCCAAAGUUUUUCGAUAUUUCAUGCAAGAAAGGUGUUACGGUCGCCACGGCCUUAAGGGAUGGGCAUAGGAUAACACAAAUCAACAUUGACACUGGCCUCACUCUAGAACACCUUCAACAAUUCUUGGCCCUUUGGGAGAAGCUAGCGACUGUGGCCAUUCAGCCGGAUGUCCAGGACUCUAUAGUGUGGAAGUCAACCAAUGAUGGGCAGUACUCUGCAAAGUCCGCUUACUUGGCACAGUUUCAUGACCUCCCGCUCUCAAGUUUGGCUGCUACGGUCUGGAAGGCGUGGGCUCCCCCCAAAUGCAAUUUUUUUGCCUGGCUUGUUAUCCAAAACUGA
rnacentral:rRNA from 1 species